rnacentral:rRNA from 1 species
AAUUCGAUGCAACGCGAAGAACUUACCUGGUCUCGACAUCCCGGAGACCCUUAGGAAACUAGGGGGUGCUUCCAUCUGGAAGAAUCUGGAGACAGGUGCUGCAUGGCUGUCGUCAGCUCGUGUCGUGAGAUGUGGGUUAAGUCCCGCAACGAGCGCAACCCUUGCCUUUAGUUGCCAGCAGUUCGGCUGGGCACUCUAAAGGGACUGCCGGUGUUAAACCGGAGGAAGGUGGGGAUGACGUCAAGUCCUCAUGGCCUUUAUGACCAGGGCUACACACGUACUACAAUGGCCGAUACAAAGGGCAGCGACACUGCGAGGUGAAGCCAAUCCCGUAAAAUCGGUCUCAGUCCGGAUUGGAGUCUGCAACUCGACUCCAUGAAGUUGGAAUCGCUAGUAAUCGUGGAUCAGCAUGCCACGGUGAAUACGUUCCCGGGCCUU